rnacentral:RNase_P_RNA from 1 species
GGAGUGGGUCGGGCGGGCGCGCUUGCCGGUCUUCGGACCGGCGGUGAGGAAAGUCCGAGCUCCGCAGGACAGGAUGCUGGGUAACGCCCAGGGGGGGUGACCCCACAGACAGUGCCACAGAAAAUAUACCGCCCGGUUUACCCCGGGUAAGGGUGAAAUGGUGAGGUAAGAGCUCACCGCGCCUGCGGUGACGUAGGUGGCAGGGAAAACCUCAUCCGGAGCAAGGCCAAAUAGGGGGAGAGAGGUGGUCCGCCUCGUUAUCAUUCCCGGGUAGGCCGCACCGAGGCGAUCGGGUAACCGUCGCCCCAGAUGAAUGCCCGCACAACGCGCCGCAAGGCGUGUGGACAGAACUCGGCUUAUAGACCCACUCCUUCG